AGCUGAAAUUCUUUCCCUCUUUCUUCUUAAUCUGCUAUGCAGGAUCCAUUUGGUUAAUAAAAUAUUGACUCCCAUUGCACAAAUCCGUGAAAUUGCCACAAACACGCCGAGGAGAGCACACACACUACGCUGCCUCUAGCUUUUGUGCAUGCAUGUCUCUUCCCGGACGCUUUGCAUUGACAUUGACAAGUCGCAUUAUUUUGGUAAUGUGAACGGCACAUAAAAAAUCAGAUUUGAACAAAAAUUCGAAUUGGGCAUCGUAUCCUUCAGUGUGAACAUAGCCAAAGAGAUAAGGUUCUGAAUCCUCAUUUGUCCAAAAGUAGUUUGGCAGCUCUCACCAAGUCUGCUACUAAAUCACACUAUCUAACUGUGUUGUUGGAUUAUAUGUGUAAGGCACAAGCAGGUAAAUGCUAGAUCUACUUUUAAGGCAAUUUUAAGGCGUCUCGUAGUGGAAAGGGUUAUAGAAAACAAAUGACCCGACAACACAAUGCAUUCAUGUGACAUUGGUCUACUUAAUAAACAUGUAAGGCCUUCAUAUACAGUAGCCUCUCGGUGUUACCAUCUGAGGGACGGGCAUAGGUGCGGGGGCCAUGGGAUGGGCUGAGUGAGUCCAGUUUGUGCUGGUGCACAUGGUCUUUGUCUGCCAGCCGCUCCCUGCUGUCGGCUUCUUUUCCACCAGCUGACUCCACUGCAGCUCAGGUCUGAUGCACAUAAACAUCAGAAUUCCAUGAAUGAUUUCAAAAAUCUGAAAUUCGAUUUGGAAUUUACCUUUUAGCUGGCGUCCCACCAAACUGCAGGUCUAAGAGUAGCAAAGCGAUGUAAAAUUAGCUGCAAGGAAGCGACCACUGUGCAAAGCCGUCUAUGUAAAUACUCACUCCCGACGAGGUUAGCUAAUGACGAGUCCAAAUCGUUGUGAAGCAUCUUCCCGGAGUGCAAUGGGGCUCCGGGGCUGAGAAUCUGAGUGGGCGGGGCUGGCUUGAGGAGAUCACCUGACAUGCACAAAUCACCAUAGUUACAAGAGGGGAGAGAUCAUAUUGUUUCAUCAUCUGAUUGCAUGUACCUCCCCAGGCGUUGUUGUUGGGCACAGUGUGUGUGGUCUGUAGGGGGGUGAAGGUAGGCUGCAGGGUGAACAGCUCACUGGUCAGAUUUGGCACACUGGAGAAGAAGACGGGUGGAUCACGAUGCAAAACAUACAUGAUGUACAUCGGCUGUUUUUCUAAUUGUUUAGUAUACUCACUAGUUGUUGACUGGUACAAGGGGGGAGUUGGAGAAGAGGUCCGUGGCCCCUCCGCUGCUGUUGGCACUUCCCACCGACUGGGUGCUGGGGGACACAUUGGCCGUCUGGAUGUCGAUCACCUUAUGACCGUCCUCCUGCACGCACAGUAGUGAUCAGAGUCUGUUGUCCGUCUCCGUCUUGUCGUCCAUUCGGCUAAGGGAGAUUUCGGUGCUGGAGAGAGACGACACCGCACUGGAUCUUAAGGUUUGGUUGACCGGGCAUGCACAGAUCAGCGCAAUCAUGCAAGAGCACAACAAUCUGAUCCAGCUAACAGGCCCCAUGCAGAUGAAGAGUUGAGACGUAAAGGAGGACUAGCGAAGGGGAGCAAAAAGAAGAGAGCGCCAGCUGCAGUGUGGGCAGGUCUGUAGGCAACCUGUUGAGAUUCGCUCAAGAUUCCCGUCCUCUCCGCUCCCACCCCCAGAAAAGGUUACCUCGGCCACUUUGAGGAACUCGGACAGUUUGGUCAUCCUGUUGAGGAAGGCCAUGUAGAUCUCCAGCGCCUCUUUGCACUGCUGCUUCUUCAUGUCAAAGUACUUCUCUGUGUGGGUCAGAGCACGUGCUUUUUGAAUAAACUGCCGAUGUUAUAACAUCAUCACUAGAGCACCAGAACAGUAGGUACACCUGCACCGUCUAAGAUCCAAUGUAAGGGCUGGAUGUCAAGUUGACAAAUAUCAUGUAUUUGCAGGUGUACCUAAUAAAGGGACUCUACUGUAUGGCCUCAGUAAGUGUCGAUGUACCCAGCAUGUUGAUGACUCCCUCAUUGUAGGCGGCGAACAAUCGUAUGGAGUCUUUGAAGAGCAGCAUGAAGGCCGUGUUGAUGACGCCGUUGGUCAGCUCAUUGGAGUUGGGCUGCAGCAGGUCGGAGCGCGCGCACACACACACACACACACACAUACAGUGAGGUCACAUGGCAACAUCACAUCUAAAGGCACUAUUUGAUCAUAUGUACCUGGAAAUCCAGCAGAGCAUCCAGCUGGUUCUGAAUGACAGGUAGCGUCUUAAUCAGCUUGUCUGUGUUCAUGGUGCGCAUCACACCGUCAGCCCUGGUAACACACACACACACGCUGGUAGAUCAAAUCCUUUGUUUGUUUAAUGAGGAGAAGGUGCGUGUGUUACCCUCGCUUCAUCUUGGUGAAGUCCACUGCAGCUAACCCGAACGACAUGGCUUUUUCAUUCAGGUAGCGACUGUAGCGUCUGAUGAAGGUUGACAUGUUGUACCCUGGUGGGAGGGGAGGAGAUGCAGUGGUGUUAGUAAAUACAUUGCAGCGCUCCUCUUGUCAUAUAUAAAAUCUUUGAUUAGCGUUUAUGCAUCACGUCCUUAAAAACAGCUAGCAUAGAAUUAUGGAAUUUGAUUUUUGAAAUUUCCAGGUCUGGAAAAUUAUGGAAAAUGUAAACUCGGAAAGCAUGGACUCUUCAUUUUUCCAAGACUGUUACCACUGUUCAAUUUUCUAAAAGAUAAAAUUAGGAAUAACUAAAAAAAAAGAAAAAAAAAAAAAGGAUUGAUCUGUUUAGGUGCUUGCAAGGGCAGCUAAGAUGUUUGUGUGAGAGCACGCAGUAGGUGACGCAUCCCAGAAAACAUUUUGGAAGAAAGACAAGUUGAAAGGCCAUCCCUCUGCUCUUAUCCUCCCCCACCCCAUUUUAAGGCCCGCCCAGAUGUCAAGUUUUACUGCUGCUUCAACGGACAGGUGAUGUCCACUUACAUUCCGUCCACAUCUUGGACAGAACUCAAAAUGGGCAAACGUCCAUUUUCUGAAGACUGGCUCAAAAAGGCCAACUAUAAAGACCGACUGGCUAAAGAUCCCUAAUGGACACACACACACAGCUAAAUGCAGACUUUUGACAUCUCCAACAUGGGGGUGGUGACGGUUGUUAUAUGCAGAGGAAAAAGCACUGUCGUCUGUGUCAAUACGUUUUUGACUAAACCCAGCGUGAGACCAAGUCCGACAAUGUAUCUGGGUUUUGGCUUUGUAUGAGCUACAUUACCUAGCUAUAAUCUCCUGGACAUUAUAUUUUGGCAUAAUGGCAUACAUAUUCAGAAUAAUGAAAACAAACAAUUAAUUCCAUCACUUAUUGACAUGAUGCACAUCUAUUUAUGAGUAUGGAAGCUUGAAAUGUAAAAUCCGUAGGAACCCUGUAUUGACAAGUGCUGUCGUAGUACAUAAAUGUCAAAGUCAGGCCAAAUCUGGCCGAUGCUGUAAUUUCAUCCGGCCCGCGGAACUGUGUGGAAAAUAGCAUUGAAUUGGCCUGCAUCGCGGAGCACAACAACAAACAAAGUACUUGCACCAAUUUGCAUGAUCAAGCAAUUCUUACGGUAAAUCAUUCUUACCAUUCUUUGCCUGACUCAGACCAAAAGUAACAAUUUAACUGCACAUGACUUAAAAAAACACCACUUUAACCAUUAUACCCUGUCUGCACAAAGUAGCACCUUAAAGAGGCAUAAGACAGUCAGAAGUGAUUAUUUUAACUACAGCAAAGCAUGCUGGGAAAAGCAUAAUCCGCCCCUUCCACAGUUGUAAACUCUUCCGAGUUACACAUCUCACGGACUAUGAUGUUUUUGCGUUGUUAUAAAAUCCUGCCGCUUUUGCCCGGACGUUGAGAGGAUGACUAGAAGGUGGUAACUAGUACUAGCCAAAAAAGAAAAUAAAAAAAAUAAAAACGCUGGCUUUUCCUCUGUGGAAGGACGUCAGUAGCAAGCACCUUGCAGCUCACGCACGCCCCACCCUUUCAGGAUGCAGCGUGCCUCCCGUAUGACAUAUGCAUGUGUUUUAUUCAAUGAUUAGGAAGAAUAAUGACGUCACAUUUACAUUAAAGACACUACAGAGGCCGUAGAAAGUCGUGGUGUAGAAUAAAUGUUUCUGCAACAUUACAUUAUUGGCGACAUGCCGACAAACAGAAACUGGCAGGUGCCAUGAGCCAACUGAGUGUGUACUCAGACGGUAGGUGGGGCUUGCGCACUAAGCCCAGAAGCCACGCUCACAGUGGCCUCUUCCCUGUAUUUUACCAGGAAAUCCGCAAAUUUAGCUAUUUUUUACUUAAGAACACACAACGAUUCGAAUCACACAGAAAAUAAAUUUAUAAUACAGUUCAAUGGACAAAUAUGAAUAUUUAUUUUAUGUUAUGAUUCGUUUUUGUUUCUUUCAUCAUGAGCCUCACCUGCCCUCCCUGACCGCACAUCACUGAGUGUUGUAUUUUUAGGUCCAGCAUGUGCUUGUCAUAUAGAGGAUAUUUGACAGGAGUUUUGUCGGUAGAUCCUUAAAAACAACAGCUCGCUCCUGUCAUAUUGAUGAUUUUUGACUUGCAUUGUUGCAGUAAGCAGAGCAGAGUGCUCGUAUCUAGCGUUAACAUAGUGUUUCUGUUUUAAAUGCUAUCUGAAAAUGUGUCCCCAGGAACAAUCUAGUUGGACAGCCCUGCCCAUACAGUGUAGACUUAUCGACUGUUACUGUGCCGGGAAGAGUCAGGACAGGAAUUCAUUCAGUCGGACGAACAGCACUGCUGAGUUGACAAGAGUGCGAGUCAAAGGGGUCAUAAAUCACCUUGUAGUGCAGCCUUAUCUUGGAAGUUGUUGAGGUUGAAGAGCGUGUUUCUGGAGGCCAUGUACUGCAUCAGUCUCUGAUGGAAGAGAGGGAGUAGUUAUUAGUCAUGUGGUCUUGUGCUUCUACGUCAUUUCAGACAGGAGUGUCACGGUGCAUUCAGGGCCCCUUGUCGUCUCACCUCGUUGCCGUACAUCAUGAGGUGAUGUGUGGCGAUGAGCGCUUUGAAAACCACGAUCCAGCUGUUGCUGGCCGUGCGCUCCAGCAGCGUGUCUGCCAGGUGAGGGAUGCUGACGUUCAGCUCGUUGGUGCAGUGGAUCAGGUCUAAAAAAAACAAGCAUUGUAGGGAAGAACUGAGAUUAACGAGUACUAGAAGUGAGCAUUUAUGAGCCUUUAAGCCCUGCCUCUUUACUUACUGUGGAGAAAAUAGCUGGGCCACAAGCCAAAGUCAUUAUAAGAAAAAAACAACCUUGGAGAGUGCUGUGAUGUAUACAUCUAUAUGGACUGCCACAUAUCCGACGACAGAUCAAUGCACAAAUGAUUAUUUAAUGCUAGCAAGAAUAAAUCACAGCUGUAUGAUCAAAAUCCAUUGGGCCGCUGUAACUCAACAGUGCUCUCUGUUCACCAGUGCGUCCAUGGCAAAUCCAGCCAGAAGAUGGAGAGUUACAUUUAUAAAGUCAAUCCAGCGCCGGCUGACACACAAUCGACGCGCGCUGAUGCAUAAUGUGAGGAAAUGAAUAGAGCCACCAUGAAUAAUUAACCUCCUUUUUUUUUUCUCCCACGGCGUCUCAGCAGCCUGCGGAGAUGAAAAGGAACAAAACCUGAGUCGACUUCGACUCCGUUUCUUCACCCUGUGAGACAUCCGUCUGGGGGUGUUCUGCUGCUUGUUUAAAACACACUUGGAAGAACAAGGCCCAUUUUUAAACACUCUAAUGCCUAUGUUGUCUCUUAUAGAUUUGUCUUGUCGCAACAAAAAAAAAAUGGAAAGCACUACUUAGUUGCAACCAGCAAAGGCACUGUUGAUUCAGUCUCAGCUAGUUUGCUACCUAAAGGAGAACAUAAUGUCAGCGAUGUGGGGGGCAGGGGAAAGCUGCAAAAAAGUUCACCAGGCAGUGUUAUUCUUGCACAAUACAACACUUGCAUGGAAACAGGAGUUCAGAACAUUCCGAGAUACAUCCUCCCAUCCAGUGUACACCCUGGACUGGUCGACGACCAAUCACACAGCACAUGCUGUAUAUACAAACGACUAUUCACACUCAAAUUCACGCCUAUGGACAAUUUAGAGUCUGCGAUUAACCCAACAUGCAUGAUUUUGUAAUGUGGGAGGAAGCCAGAGUACCCAAAGGAAACCUACACAUGCACAGGGAGAAACAAAAAAUCAUUCCAGGUGGACUGUUAGAAUUCUAAACUGAAACGAGUGUGCGUGUAUCAAAUAUAUACUCGCGAGUCAAAAACUUUGCCCACCCCUGAUCUAAAUAAACGCAUGCUUUUUCUUUGGCUUUUUUACGACAUAGAAGGGUGUAGAUGGUUAGCAGUGACGGCAACGGGGAAAUAUGUGAUUAUGACCACACAAUAUUCAUACAAAAAAAUAUGAAUUACAUUAUCACUAACCCUGAAAGUUACCAAUCUACUUUCAGUCUUAAUGUGAAGAGACUCGUCUCUCAACUGUUUCUGUUCACAGUGACUCACUUCUUUUUACACUUGAAGGCUAAGACUCUGGCAGUGACAUAUCUGAACUCCUAAUGUAUGGUGAUGUCUCUACGUCAUAAAACUUAAGGGUGAGUUUGACGUGAUUGUUUUUUUUUUCAUGUGUUAAUAUGAAGUGGCUUCUUUUUACACUUGUAUGAGGAUGUCAAGAGCGAAAUGCGAAUGUGAGAGAACGUCUGUGCGCCGCUGUUACAUCAUCGAAAUGAAGGGUGAUUGCGCAAUUUAUUGUUUUUAAGACCUAACUGCAGAAAUCCUAUGCGCGAUAUCAAAUUUUGCUCUGAGAGGUCACUGUGGGCUCUGAUUACACGCAUUGAAUCCCGCUUCUGUCGCCAAGUGGCUGCACUGUAUCUGAGGCGUGCGGCUUAAUGAAAUCCCAUUUACUCUGUGUGACAUGCUCAUCAUUUGCCACGCUUUGUAAAUAGAUAGUAGUGAGGCAGGGUGGGGGGGUGGUUUAAAUAGUCAAAUAGUUCCUCCCCCCCGCAACCACACUCUCUCUCAAGGUCAUGACACCGAGACGGUGCUGAUGACGGGAGCCCGCUUCGGCCCCAGGUUAAUGAGAAGCGAUAACAAUGAAUCAUGGCUUUAGUGCUAUGUGUCAAGGUGAAUUGAUAGCAUCUGGAGUAUGGAUUAAAUAAGCCACAAUAGCAGGAAAUGUACAAUCACAGUGGAACCUCCAAAUUCAAAAGUGUGUACAAUCCCACCACAUUUUUUUGGGCAAAUAGGUGGCACAAAAUGCAAGGUUCCCCUCACUUAGUUUAGGCAGCAUUAAAGAAUAAACUCUCUGACUUUAUUACCUUUUUUGCAAUAUUUAUUCAAAAUGUCGACAUUAUUAUUAUGAUUAUCAUCACAAUGUACACUGAGAGGUCACUCUUGGCCUUAUUACAUGGACUGGAUCCCCCUUCUGUCGCCAGCCUAGACCAUAUAAAAAUAUUUCCCAUGGGUUAAACGAAUAGCUGAAAUGUGUUUAUCAUUUACAAAUGAACUUCCAACUCUGAAAUGUCAUGCAGUUGGAAAUCCAACCACAUUCUUUCAGGCAAUAGGUGGCACAAAACGCAAAUAUUGUCUCACUCUGAGUGUGUUUGGCUUUUUCUUAGACCUUUUUUUUGCAACAUUUAUGUAAAAAAAAAAAAAAAAAAUGUCAUUAAUAUAGAAAUUGUAUGUGGGUUAUCACACCGUGCUCUGAGAGGUUACUCUAGACCUCGAUACGUGCAUUGAAUCCCACUUCUGUCGCCGAUCGCAAAUUUAAUGAAAUCUCAUUCACGGUACUCUGCGUGACAUUACAGAAUGUCCUCGAUUGCUAACGUUAGUAUCCCAUCGCUUGUUAGUAACACCUUUUAUUGUUGCAUGGGUUAGCUUCUUUUUACACUUAAUUAAGUAUUACACAGUAAUACUGAAAAAUGAGCAACGGGAGUGUUUUAAUAUGUUAAUUUUAGUGUUAACCUAUUUUUACACUUAUAUGACAUUUAAGAAUGUUGCUGAAAAUGUGCACUGGACAGUUAAUACAGGACAUUAUUUAUAAUAGCUGGUUUGACCCUGGAGUGGGUCACGCUAGGUCCUUGUGGUUCCCCUGCAUAUUCAGGGAAUUAUUUUCUCUGCUUUAUUUUUUUUUGUGGUACCUUAAAUAGAAAGUGGCUUGAUGGCACUAUCUACAGGGGAACAAGAGUGCUGCAGCGAUGAACCCAGCACCCAUCAAAGGAAGAUGCUUUGACAAGACGCGAUGUUGUGUAACUGCACGUUUUGAAAAACAGAUUUAGAGGUUCCACUGCAGCUGUUUUUUUUGCCACGGUCUCAUUAUUUUUUGUAUCCUUGCUGAUUCCAUUUGCCAGUGAGAGCGAUUCUUUACCAGAACCAAGUAUGCAUCUCCUUUUUUUACGAUCCCGUUUACGAGGUGAGUUUGAGUUCUGAGUUGUUGCACACCAAACGACAAAAGUCUACCUUGCCGGGGGGUGGGCGGCAUCAGACCCACUUUGCGCAAACACACCUCUGCCCCGCGUCCUUGCCUGACUUUUAUAUUUGCUGCAGUUCAAAUUAAAACAAAAAAAACCCCACACGCAGCAGCUUAGAGAGAAUAUGCUAAGCUUCUAACACCACAUCACAAUUGGUCGGAUAAGAACCAAUAAAACCUCAUGUAAGCGAGCUGGCUCAUUGGGUCAGAAAAUCUCAAUGUUUUUAAGCUUCGGAGUGAUGAAACGUGGUCUAAAUUCAAUAAAGUCAUUGCGGCUGCAGUCUGGUGACAUUUACUGCUCUGAAGGUGGAUCACCUCUCGUUUAAUAACUGCAGGCACAAUAUUGGCAUCAUAACAACAAUAAAGGAACCCAUACAUCAACAUUACCAAGUCUUCUUCCCGGCCACAACAAUAGGUACACCUAAUGAGAUCCAAUAAAAAUAAUUCCCCCUUUACAAAGAUAAUCCAUCCAUCCAUUUUCUAUACCGCUUCAUCCUCAUUAGGGUCGCGGUCGCAGCUGACUUCGGGCGACUGGGGUACACCCUGGACUGGUCGCCAGCCAAUCGCAGGGCACAUAUAGACAAACAACCAUUCACACCUAUGGACAAUUUAGAGUCGCCAAUUAACAUUACCUGCAUGUUUUUGGAAUGUGGGCGGAAGCCGGAGUGCCCGGAGAAAACCCACACGCACACGGGGAGAACAUGCAAACUCCACACAGAAAUGCCCAGGGGAGAAUCGAACCCGAUCUCCAGGCUGUUCCUGUAUUGGCCAACGUGCUAACCACUAGACCACCGUGCGGCCCUUACAAAGAUAAUAUUAUUCAUAUAUAGAAUACGUGUCAAAGUCGGGCCCGGGGGCUAAAUCCUGCCGCGCUGCAAUUUUGUGCGGCGCACGGAACUGUUUGGAAAAUAGCAUUGAGUCGGCCCGCCUCGCGGACCUUAUCAAAGUGCUUACAGCGAUCUGCAUAAUUAAGCGAUUCCUCUGGUAUAAACUACUCCUCCUGCAUUAUAAUUUUAAAAGUGGAAACUAUAUUGUAUAUAGCAUGAAAUUCACAGCCAUCCUAAAUAGGGGUGCCAGAUUCAGACCAAAAGUCAAAAUAAUUUAAUUGUGCAUGGCUAAACACAAAGCACUAAAGUACUUUAACUAUUACAGUACACCCUGUCUGUACAAAAUAUCACCUUAAGGAGACCACAGCAAAGCAUGCUGGGAAACGCGUAAUCCGCCCAUUCCACAGCUCCAAAUUCUUCCGGGUUACACAUCUUGCAGAUUGUGACGUUUUUGUGUUGAAAUAAAAUACUGUAGCUUUUGCCCCGACAUUGAGAGAAUGACGAAGAGGUGGUCGAUCGACAAUCACUUUAUUGAAGCGAACAACCACACCCAGACAGCCAUAUUCCUACAUCCACAGACUAUCGAAAAGUAGAAAUUUCAAGCAGGAAUGAAUGGACACGAAAAAAUGCGCAUGUCCACAUAAAGACACACUCACCAGCUGUCCUGCACAUUUUGUCCCAACCUGAAAACGCAACCACUGGGAUGCAUUAUAUUGGCAUGUUCCAAUCCUGGAACCAACAUAAAAGGUGUGCAUGCUACUUACUUUUCAAGUCGUCAUUGUUAAUGAGACAUUUUCUCAAAAUCAGACCAUACUAACUACAAUUUUUUUCAGCCUAGAUCAUUGGGGCAUGUCCUGUCAUGUUCGCAACUUCAAACGAGCAUCUCUGUGUGUGUGCACUGAUGAUGCAUAUGAGUGUGCUUCAUUCACCUAUUAUGUUUGUUUAACGAACAAGAAGGUUUUAAGGUUUUUAGUCCUUUCAAUAUGCAGAAAUAUACAAGUGUUGAAGAUUUCAGGAUAAAUAUUGAGAAAGAUACAAAGUUGGGGAGUGUGGUGGGGUGUAAUGUCCAGUUUGGCCCACAACCUAAAGUAGGCUUUGAGUUUUGGCCCCCUGUGCGAUUGAGUCGACACCCCUGAUAUAGAGGAUAUUUGACUUUUUGCAGUAUAGAGGCUCUUGAUCCUUAAAAACAGCAGAGUACUCCUAUCAUAUACAAUAGAGGAUCUUUGACUUUUUGCAGUCUCUCCUCAACAAGAGCAUGCCGUACACCUGUCAUAUAGAAGAUCUUUCACUUGCAUUUUUGCAAUGCCUGAGAAACAGCAGCGUGCGUCUGUUAUAUCGAGGAUCUUUGACUUGCAUCAACUUAUUGCUUCUGUUUAAAUGUAUUAACUUUAUUUAUAACUAAUUUGAUAAUUUAGUGAGAUAAAAAUGUGAAGACGCGGCAUAGCCGUACAUAGACAUUAUAUACAAAAUACAGCCGGUCCUUAGCUUUCUGAAAGUGUGUGCCCCGUAAGAAUUGAGGUGAAUGGUCACGAUCAAUGACACCGAAUAAGCCUUUAUGUUCACCUGACCUGCAUGUGUGGAUAGCACACCUUGUGAGGACAAGGAGGGUCCCCGGUGUCGCCAACACGGCAGACCCAUCCCGUGCAGAUUCCCUCCAUAUCGUUCCAUCUUUUUUUUUCCCCCCACUAUAUGUGGAUCAUGGAGUGACUGCCUUGCCUUGGAGGAGUGUGACUGGCAGCACCAUUGAUUACCUGUGCUCUCCAUCGAUCAAGUCAUUUAUUAUUGGGGGAAAAAACCUGCCUAACCUACUACUAAUAACAAUGCAGCACACAUUCAUAAAUGAUAGUGAACUUGACAUUAAUAAUGUUGCUGGACAUCAUGACAAUAAUGCAAAUAGGCCUCAAUGUAAAGCCGAUAGGUGGCCUAUAUUUCCCCUUGAAUGACAUGCAUAGAUGACAUCAAUGCUGUUAUUUAUGGAUGGUGCCCAAUUAAAGAUGAGAAUGAGAUAAAGAUGGAUGGAUGGAGGAGGGGGGCAUCUUUUGUGUGCCCUUUUCUAUGGAUGCAUGCACGCAGACAGUGAGCAGUGAUGGUAUGUUUCACCUACAGUCAAGGUGCUUCUUCUUGGGUCCGCUCACUUCGUGCGUCGUGGCCUUGCACACGGCUUUGCUGAUCGCUGAGCCACUCAUGCUGUGCUGCGCGGCGGCGAUCCGGUCCGUCAGCGUCGGUCCGGACAUGGUGAAAGCGGUAGU